CGCACCCCUUCCCGGCGGGAGGACGCGACCCUGCCUCACCCGCGGCCCAUUCUCGGGGUGCCGGCGUGGCCCCAGGCUGCACCCCAUGCACGGCUUACCGGACGCGAGCCGCGCCUGCCCAGGAGCCCGCUGCCCCCUCCGCUCUGCGGCUGAGACCACCCGCCCCUCCCUCCAAACCAGCGUCACGUGGUCCCGUUUCCCAGAGCCGCCUGCACGCACAGGAAAGCAACUGUCUUUCUCAGCAUAGAACCAGUAAAAUUGCUGGGACCCUGGAGGGGACUCGAUCAGCUCAGUAUUUGUACUUGUUAAUUUGGUCAAGUUCUCUAGUCCUUAAGGCAACUGAUAUUUUCUAGUAAGUAAUCUGAUAUCUGAUGUCUUUCUAGGAAUGAAUCCAUGCCAUUUAAAUUUUUGAUUACUAGCAUAUUUAUGCUUAUAUCUUUUUUUAAAACAAGGUCUGAUUAUGUAGCACAGGCUGGCCUCAAACUGCGAUCCUCCUGCCUCAGCCUCCCGAGUGCUGAGAUUACAGAUUUGAGUGUUGUAUAUUAAGAUGUCGGCCUCGUUUCCUGUCGUUCAUAUUUGCCUGGGCUCACUUUGCACGAAGCCUGCCACAGCAGCUGUAGGGCUGUGGCUCCAAACGCAAGCCCCACUGACCACCAGCCCCAGCUGCUGCCCUUGGGAUCCCCCUUGGUAUUAAAGCAUGGCCACCUCCUCCUGGCCACUCCCAGUCAAAGGUGGGGUGCAGCAGGGUCCUCGUGCUGACCUUUCCCGCCCACUGCCAACUCCUCUGCUGGACAGUGCCAUCAGGACCUGAAACAGCCUGGCCAGGACCUCUGGGAAAGGGACCCUGGCCUGGGACCAUCCACCCCGGCCUCCUCCAGCAUCUGUCUCCAUGCGCUGCCUCCUGUCAAUCAUAGGCACAACCCCCACCUCAGCCCAUCUCAGCCUCCGCUUCUCAGAGGGCUGCUCACGCUCACCCUGGGAACGUGUCUCUCUCCAUGUCCUCAGGGGCCCAAGGCAGGACAAAGGCACAGGUCCAGGACACAGAGCGGCCUCCAGGGCUCGAGGACCCUGCUCCCCUCUGUCCCAAGGCCUCUCUUGCUCUGCACUUGCUGUGUGGGGUGUUUCUGAUUUGCUAUUUGAUGUCAUUCUUAGUAAAGAAAAAUUAAAAUUUUGAC
rnacentral:lncRNA from 1 species